AAGAGGGUGGCUGAUCAGGAGCUCUGUGCUUCCAACGGUCUGGCUCCAGACAACAACUGACAACUUGACCUCAAAUCGAGUAGGACCACCCGCUGAACUUAAGCAUAUCAAUAAGCGGAGGAAAAGAAACUAACAAGGAUUCCCUAGUAACGGCGAGUGAAGAGGGAAGAGCUCAAAUUUUGAAUCUGGCGUCUCUGGCGUCCGAAUUGUAAUCUAGAGAAGUGUUUUCCGUGACGGACCGUGCAUAAGUCUCCUGGAAUGGAGCGUCAUAGAGGGUGAGAAUCCCGUAUAUGGCAUGGACUCCCGUUGCUCUGUGAUACACUCUCGACGAGUCGAGUUGUUUGGGAAUGCAGCUCUAAAUGGGUGGUAAAUGCCAUCUAAAGCUAAAUAUUGGCGAGAGACCGAUAGCGAACAAGUACCGUGAGGGAAAGAUGAAAAGCACUUUGGAAAGAGAGUGAAACAGUACGUGAAAUUGUUGAAAGGGAAACGCUUGAAGUCAGUCGCGCCGUUCAGGAUUCAGCCUGGCUUCUGCUUGGUUUACUUCCUGUUGGGUGGGUCAACAUCAGUUUUGGUCGGAGGAGAAAGGCUUGGGGAAGGUAGCAGCAUUCGUGCUGUGUUAUAGCCCCUUGUUGUAUACUUCGACUGGGACUGAGGACUGCAGCACGCCUUUGGCCGGGGUUCGCCCACGUACGUGCUUAGGAUGUUGGCAUAAUGGCUUUAAGCGACCC
rnacentral:rRNA from 1 species